UCUACGAGUAACCAAAUCUAUAGGGAUCGAUUCACUGAAUUACUCUAAAUAGAAUUUAAACAAAUUAUAUGUAAAAUUAUAUAAUUCCAAAAUAUCACCAUUUAUGUACGUGCAAAAUUACAAAGCUGGAGCGUAUCCAUCGACAAUCUUUUUUAGUUCGGAAGUGGAUUUAGUGCAUUUUGAACUUAAUAAGUGCAUACUGUUAAUUUGUGUUAAAUAUUUGAAGUAGGCUACAAAAUAGCUUGACACAAACAAACUUGUGUACCUAUGUAUGGACAUACUCUAGAAAGUCUGGUAACACCUUAUUACCAGGCGGUGACUAUGUGUGUAACUCUACCACCAUGGUAGUAAAUUCGUCACCUAUUUAGCGGUAGUAAAUUAAUAACAAUUCUGGUUUGAUUUUUUUACUCCCUGGUCUCCUUUAUUAGCAGUGAGGGGUGAAGACUUGCAAUGGUUGGCUUAUUAACCGAUGUGCUACCGAUAGCUUUGGGAAUAUUUUUGGGAAAUAAGAUUGCCGAUUACUUAUUCAAUGCUGAUCAGAAUAAAGAAACCUUCCUUGAGGCUGGGCGGCAGAGUGAAAUUUUAGCUGCGAAGCUAGGGGAGCUAAUUUCUGGGAUGAAUUUAAGUUCGUCAUCAAUUGAGAUUACAGCAUUCGGGGAAAACAAUGAAAAAUCCGUGGCUGACUAUUUUUGGAUGGGAUUUUCCAAACGCUAUGGCUUCUCUGAAAAAGUAGAGCGGAUGGGGCCUUUCGCCAUCAAAAUUAGGGUUUUUCCCAUAUGUACGUGGGUGUUUUAUUAUUGAUUUUCAAAAGGUAUGUUCCGCACUGUUUCUGACCAAAAUUUUGAUGAAAUAACAAACUUCAAAAACAUUUUGGAAGUCGUGAUUUUUUUCAGCUCAAUCGGUUAAAAGAAACACCCGCAACAAAUCAUCCAAAUUUACCUCGAAAAUAUGCAAAAAUUUACGACUUGAUUCCAUUAUCAUCCUAAAAUCGUUUCCCCCUGAUGUUUUUCUUCAACGUUUGAAACGGAUAAUAAUCACUAAGGGUCCUGUCUGGACUGCACGGGGGGUGGUCUGUGCAGGUAAAGCGAUUUUCGUCUGCAUCAGCUCUCUAAAACAGUGAGGUAUUUGGUGGCGCGUUCCCAAUAAGAAUUUUCCCUGUGAAUCAGGCGUUUUACGUUAGGUAAAAAGGCCCAGUAAACUGCACAGUACUUGGAAGAAAGUG